AGCGAACGCUGGCGGCAGGCCUAACACAUGCGAGUCGAACGAACCUUUCGGGGUUAGUGGCGGACGGGUGAGUAACACGUGGGAACGUGCCUUUAGGUUCGGAAUAACUCAGGGAAACUUGUGCUAAUACCGAAUGUGCCCUUCGGGGGAAAGAUUUAUCGCCUUUAGAGCGGCCCGCGUCUGAUUAGCUAGUUGGUUGAGGUAAUGGCUCACCAAGGCGACGAUCAGUAGCUGGUCUGAGAGGAUGAUCAGCCACAUUGGGACUGAGACACGGCCCAAACUCCUACGGGAGGCAGCAGAGGGGAAUCUUGCGCAAUGGGCGAAAGCCUGACGCAGCCAUGCCGCGUGAAUGAUGAAGGUCUUAGGAUUGUAUAAUUCUUUCACCGGGGACGAUAAUAACGGUACCCGGAGAAGAGGCCCCGGCUAACUUCGUG
rnacentral:rRNA from 1 species